UAGGGCAUUAACAGAGCAGGAUAUGAAUAAUUUUUUUUUUGUGAUAUCCCAAGGAUGGAGGUCAUAUAAACGGAGCACACGGUUUCCAAUUCACUGAAAUCAUAGCUGAGAAUUAAGAGUUGUUAUAGCAGUGGACGUUCGAAGAAGCUUUAACAUGAAAACUUCAACCAUGACUUCGACUCUUUGUUUCUUUUUUAUUUUGUCUUCAUUUCUCCAAUUCUCGGACGCAUUUGUCUCUAACCAAGUUGGUAGAAGAUCUUCUAAGCAUGAAAGAAAUCUUCAAGAUAUUUGCCGGUUAGCCUACGAACAAUGUGGUGCCCUGGGACCUGAGCAGCAAUCACGUGACUCAACGGCUGAAGACGCUAGGCUCAAGAGAAGAGACAUUGAGUUUUUUUAUUGAUGAGCGAAAAUAGCACAAUUCACGGCGCCAUCGAAGAAAAUUGCUGUUUCUGUAGCGUUUUAGCGUUGAAAGAGGAAGUUUGAUCAUUAAAGAGACUGAAAAAAAGAGCGAAGUACGUAGUGUUACAUCAUGCAAAGUUUCAUUUCUUGUGGACUAAGCAAGUCUAUCGAACUCUUGAAUUGAAAGUAAAUUUGUGGUUAGGAAUUCGGGCCUUACGCAACCAUGAAGCCACCAAGCAGGAAAUAGAUGCAUGGGAAAUUAAUAGUUUUCAUUAACAAAACAGUACAUCCACUAGCCUGUAUAACAAGCAAUUUAGUGAGUACUAUUCGAAUGCUUUGCCAGAUUUCUCGCGCUUUUUACCUGGUUUACUGAGAAUCCGUGACUUGUAAAAGAAAAAGGUACGAAUGUGUUGCUCACUGCGACAAAGCCAAUUCCAAUUUUCGCUAUAAAAACAUUGCCCUCAUAUGCAUAUGAAAUUUACUUAAAAGAGGUGUGUAAAUUUUAUGAAAAGUGCGCCUAGAUUUUACCGUCACGAGCGACUGGGGACACACCUAUGUGAGUCUAAUUAUAAGUGAGCUUCAAUAAUAUAUUUCACUCCUUUUAUUUCUUUAGAAAGUUUAAACAAUUAUACCCUUAAACAUUGAAUACAUUUUCUGUGUUAAUUACAGAACCUAAAAAACGCUAAAGAAAAACUCCCUGAGGACUUUGUCCAAUCAAUACGCAAUUUAAAUUUACUGUAUAAUUUAAGGAUACUUCAAAUCGAAAGUUGGAGUAAUCAAUUAUGUUUCUCUUGUCAGGGUUAAGAGGUCAUCUAUUAGUCACUAAGAAUACUUAACAUUGAUAGAAUUUUGUCUUGAGAGACGCUGGAAGGUCUGUUUGAGAGCCUACAGAGGAUGGUUCACGCUGAGAUCAGUGUACAUCAUAAUUUUUAAGCGGUGCUGGUGAACAACAAAUUAGAAAGACGAUCUGAUUAUGAACGAUUGACAGAUGCAAAUAUUUAAGAAUCAUUUGGUUAAUCAAAGAAUAACGAUGAUCUUCAAGUAUACUCUUUUUGCUUCUUUUUCAUCUCCUAUUUUCUCAGAAUUGAGUCAUGGGAAUUCUUGUUAAAAAUUGGUGAACAAUUUUAUGAAAGAUUUCACCCUAUCUAUGACUAAACGAGGUUACGUGGUCAUAAGUUUGACUCAGAAAGAUAUUCAUGAAUUGUGUUGAAAACUGACAAGGUGUCGGUCAAGGAAUAUUGGUUAUAGGCAGUUAUCAUUUCAGACCGGUGGUAAAUGACAAGAGGAAAUGAACUAAUUUAAACCUGAAUUGGCAGCGAUAUUAAGGCACUUUUAAAAUAUUAAAAUAUCACAUCCUGGAAAUCGAAUCGUCACUAUACGAGGUGCGAGCGUUAAAGAAUCGAACAACAAAGCAGUGAAUCUCGUCAAUUUGGCCAAACACCGAAAAGAUAGGAUGUUGGUUCGUUCCAGGCUACUUUGUCUAUUGUCUCUUAUUCUCGUCCUGUUGCUGGGCAUGGACGCUAAGCAGUUGCGUGAGUUUUCAGAUGUAAGUAAAGGCAACGACUUGAAAGAGGAUCUGAAGAACGUUGCAUCGGAAAAGCGUAUCGGGCAAUCCUUAGAAGACAGGUUAAAAAGAAGAGUUCAAAGCGCCCGACAACUUCAGCGCUGUGAGAAUGGUAGAUUUAUGCUUCUUUGUAAAUGACAUCAUUACAAAAAUAUCCGGCGAAACAAAAAUGCAUCAGAUUCUGUUGUGUAGGACUCUGUUUAGAAUAGAAUUUCGCGUGCGCAUGUGUAAGUGUGACGGGGGCUCGAUGUCCCGGCUGGCAAAACGUUAGAUCAUAUCUUUACGUGUUUCUUCAGCGAGUGUUAUUAAUGCCCCUGAAUGCAUCAAGUAUCAUACUAUUGUUCUUGCUGUAAACUAAGAAAUCGAGAAAAUAAACUGAAUUACUUAUCUCA